rnacentral:lncRNA from 1 species
GUUAAUAGCGGAGAAGAAUCUUCGAAAACGCUCGGAGAACAUGUCCAUGUUAGGUAGAAAACGAGCUUCAACGAUUUUUAAAUGGAGGUUACCGUGAAGGUAAAUGACGGUGGGGUCUGAUUUAUGAGUCAUUGUUGUUAUUUGUGAAUGAGAAAUUUAGAGAAGAAAUGUGAUAGGGAGCGUUGUUGUUGAAUAAUGAGGAAACGCUCACUAUCACGGGUUGCCGUUACGGAGGACUAAAGACUACAGCAUUGUUAUGAUGAUUUCUCCGGCGGAGAAAUGGAAUGGCGUUUCUGCUGUAAUCCGGUAUGAAUAAUAAUGUGAUCAAUGGAUUGCAAAAAAGGUAUUAGAGGUUAAGGUGGCGGGAGAGAAAAAGGUAGCAGGAUUAGCGUCUUGUUUUCCUUUUUUGGGUACAAAUUAGCGUCUAAUUUUGAACUUAAUUAAUUAUAAGCAUCGGUAGGUAGCGGGAAUUGGAACUGUUCUCUCAAUAUCCCUCUACAUAUUUUUUUAAAUAUAUUUUUUGUUAUUUAUGUUUUAUUUAAUAUUCUUUUAGUUCUUUAUUUUUUUAAUUUUUUUAAAUUUCUUAUAUUUUAUUUUAGUUAUUUGUUGUUUAUUUAUUAAUUGCAAUUAUUAUUUAUAUUUCACAAAAUUAUAUAAAUCUUUUUUAUUAAAGAUUAAAAUGACUUUUAUGUAAAAGAUAAAAACAAAUAAAAAUAAAUAAUUAAAAUGAAUAAAAGAUGAAUAAAUGAAAUAGAUAUUAAAUAAAAAUAAUGAAUUAAAAAUAUUAAAAUUAUAUUUUAAUCUUUUUUGAAGGUAAAUGACGGUGGGGUCUGAUUUAUGAGUCAUUGUUGUUAUUUGUGAAUGAGAAAUUUAGAGAAGAAAUGUGAUAGGGAGCGUUGUUGUUGAAUAAUGAGGAAACGCUCACUAUCACGGGUUGCCGUUACGGAGGACUAAAGACUACAGCAUUGUUAUGAUGAUUUCUCCGGCGGAGAAAUGGAAUGGCGUUUCUGCUGUAAUCCGGUAUGAAUAAUAAUGUGAUCAAUGGAUUGCAAAAAAGGUAUUAGAGGUUAAGGUGGCGGGAGAGAAAAAGGUAGCAGGAUUAGCGUCUUGUUUUCCUUUUUUGGGUACAAAUUAGCGUCUAAUUUUGAACUUAAUUAAUUAUAAGCAUCGGUAGGUAGCGGGAAUUGGAAC